CCUACGGGUGACAGCAGUCGAGAAUCAUUCACAAUGGGGGAAACCCUGAUGGUGCGACGCCGCGUGGGGGAAUGAAGGUCUUCGGAUUGUAAACCCCUGUCAUGUGGGAGCAAAUUAAAAAGAUAGUACCACAAGAGGAAGAGACGGCUAACUCUGUGCCAGCAGCCGCGGUAAUACAGAGGUCUCAAGCGUAGUUCGGAAUCACAGGGCGUAAGGCGGGCCGAGGCUGUUUCGUAAGUCGGGUGUGAAAGGCGCGGGCUCAACCCGCGGACGGCACAUGAUACUGCGAGACUAGAGUAAUGGAGGGGGAACCGGAAUUCUCGGUGUAGCAGUGAAAUGCGUAGAUAUCGAGAGGAACACUCGUGGCGAAGGCGGGUUCCUGGACAUUAACUGACGCUGAGGCACGAAGGCCAGGGGAGCGAAAGGGAUUAGAUACCCUGGUAGUC
rnacentral:rRNA from 1 species